UUGAACGCUGGCGGCAGGCCUAACACAUGCAGGUCGAGCGGAUGAAGGGAGCUUGCUCCUGGAUUCAGCGGCGGACGGGUGAGUAAUGCCUAGGAAUCUGCCUGGUAGUGGGGGAUAACGUCCGGAAACGGGCGCUAAUACCGCAUACGUCCUGAGGGAGAAAGUGGGGGAUCUUCGGACCUCACGCUAUCAGAUGAGCCUAGGUCGGAUUAGCUAGUUGGUGGGGUAAAGGCCUACCAAGGCGACGAUCCGUAACUGGUCUGAGAGGAUGAUCAGUCACACUGGAACUGAGACACGGUCCAGACUCCUACGGGAGGCAGCAGUGGGGAAUAUUGGACAAUGGGCGAAAGCCUGAUCCAGCCAUGCCGCGUGUGUGAAGAAGGUCUUCGGAUUGUAAAGCACUUUAAGUUGGGAGGAAGGGCAGUAAGUUUAUACCUUGCUGUUUUGACGUUACCAACAGAAUAAGCACCGGCUAACUUCGUG
rnacentral:rRNA from 1 species